UGAGGAAUAUUGGUCAAUGGGCGAGAGCCUGAACCAGCCAAGUAGCGUGCAGGAUGACGGCCCUAUGGGUUGUAAACUGCUUUUAUGUGGGGAUAAAGUGCGUGACGUGUCAUGCAUUGCAGGUACCACAUGAAUAAGGACCGGCUAAUUCCGUGCCAGCAGCCGCGGUAAUACGGAAGGUCCGGGCGUUAUCCGGAUUUAUUGGGUUUAAAGGGAGCGUAGGCGGUCUAUUAAGCGUGUUGUGAAAUUUACCGGCUCAACCGGUGGCUUGCAGCGCGAACUGGUCGACUUGAGUAUGCAGGAAGUAGGCGGAAUUCAUGGUGUAGCGGUGAAAUGCUUAGAUAUCAUGACGAACUCCGAUUGCGCAGGCAGCUUACUGUAGCAUAACUGACGCUGAUGCUCGAAAGUGCGGGUAUCAAACAGG
rnacentral:rRNA from 2 species